AUUGAACGCUGGCGGCAGGCCUAACACAUGCAAGUCGAGCGGUAACAGAAAGUAGCUUGCUACUUUGCUGACGAGCGGCGGACGGGUGAGUAAUGCUUGGGAACAUGCCUUGAGGUGGGGGACAACAGUUGGAAACGACUGCUAAUACCGCAUAAUGUCUACGGACCAAAGGGGGCUUCGGCUCUCGCCUUUAGAUUGGCCCAAGUGGGAUUAGCUAGUUGGUGAGGUAAUGGCUCACCAAGGCGACGAUCCCUAGCUGGUUUGAGAGGAUGAUCAGCCACACUGGGACUGAGACACGGCCCAGACUCCUACGGGAGGCAGCAGUGGGGAAUAUUGCACAAUGGGCGCAAGCCUGAUGCAGCCAUGCCGCGUGUGUGAAGAAGGCCUUCGGGUUGUAAAGCACUUUCAGUCAGGAGGAAAGGUUAGUAGUUAAUACCUGCUAGCUGUGACGUUACUGACAGAAGAAGCACCGGCUAACUCCGUGCCAGCAGCCGCGGUAAUACGGAGGGUGCGAGCGUUAAUCGGAAUUACUGGGCGUAAAGCGUACGCAGGCGGUUUGUUAAGCGAGAUGUGAAAGCCCCGGGCUCAACCUGGGAACUGCAUUUCGAACUGGCAAACUAGAGUGUGAUAGAGGGUGGUAGAAUUUCAGGUGUAGCGGUGAAAUGCGUAGAGAUCUGAAGGAAUACCGAUGGCGAAGGCAGCCACCUGGGUCAACACUGACGCUCAUGUACGAAAGCGUGGGGAGCAAACGGGAUUAGAUACCCCGGUAGUCCACGCCGUAAACGAUGUCUACUAGAAGCUCGGAGCCUCGGUUCUGUUUUUCAAAGCUAACGCAUUAAGUAGACCGCCUGGGGAGUACGGCCGCAAGGUUAAAACUCAAAUGAAUUGACGGGGGCCCGCACAAGCGGUGGAGCAUGUGGUUUAAUUCGAUGCAACGCGAAGAACCUUACCUACACUUGACAUACAGAGAACUUACCAGAGAUGGUUUGGUGCCUUCGGGAACUCUGAUACAGGUGCUGCAUGGCUGUCGUCAGCUCGUGUUGUGAGAUGUUGGGUUAAGUCCCGCACCGAGCGCA
rnacentral:rRNA from 1 species